AGAACGAACGCUGGCGGCAGGCCUAACACAUGCAAGUCGAGCGCCCAGCAAUGGGAGCGGCGGACGGGUGAGUAACACGUGGGAAUAUGCCUUUCGGUUCGGAACAACUCGGGGAAACCCGUGCUAAUUCCGGAUACGCCCUUACGGGGAAAGAUUUAUCGCCGAAAGAUUAGCCCGCGUCCGAUUAGCUAGUUGGUGAGGUAACGGCUCACCAAGGCACCGAUCGGUAGCUGGUUUGAGAGAACGACCAGCCACACUGGGACUGAGACACGGCCCAGACUCCUACGGGAGGCAGCAGUGGGGAAUCUUGGACAAUGGGGGAAACCCUGAUCCAGCCAUGCCGCGUGAGUGAUGAAGGCCUUCGGGUUGUAAAACUCUUUCGGCGGGGUACGAUAAUGACGGUACCCGCAGAAGAAGCUCCGGCUAACUUCGUGCCAGCAGCCGC
rnacentral:rRNA from 1 species